AGAACGAACGCUGGCGGCAUGCCUAACACAUGCAAGUCGAACGCUCACCGGGCUUCGGUCUCAGGGGAGUGGCGCACGGGUGAGUAGCGCGUGGGAACCUGCCCUGUUGUGGGGGAUAACCGAGGGAAACUUCGGCUAAUACCGCAUAAGCCGGUUGUCUUGAAGGAGAUGGCCGGGAAAGAUUUAUCGCGACAGGAGGGGCCCGCGUCGGAUUAGCUAGUUGGUGGGGUAACGGCCCACCAAGGCGGUGAUCCGUAGCUGGUCUGAGAGGAUGAUCAGCCACACUGGGACUGAGACACGGCCCAGACUCCUACGGGAGGCAGCAGUGGGGAAUAUUGGACAAUGGGCGCAAGCCUGAUCCAGCAAUGCCGCGUGAGUGAUGAAGGCCUUAGGGUUGUAAAGCUCUUUUGCCAGGGAAGAUAAUGACGGUACCUGGAGAAUAAGCACCGGCUAACUUCGUGCCAGCAGCCGC
rnacentral:rRNA from 1 species